AACAGUUGGUUAAACAUGAGCCUCCAUCAACAAAACUUAACCAAAGCCAUACACAGCAAAGGGCUAAGCAGGUGAAAAAGAGAAUUACUUUGAAAACAAAGUCUUCCCCAAAAUUAUGCAAAUUCUUAUUACUUCAUAACAAAUGUUUCCCAUUGAAGCCUACAGCAGGAUGUCUGCUCAGGGAGGUUUGUUUAGAUCACAUUUUCUUCCCCUUUAAGCCUCUUUAGUUGACAUAACACUUAUUCCUUGCUUGGGCACCAUGCUGCUUCUUGGGAGAAGUGGCAGCAAGAACAGAAGAGGUAGACUGACAUUUUAAAAGAAGUCAAGCUAAUACCACUUUUGUAAGUCUCCAGAUUUCAGCACAGCCUACUCUGCUUUUUCUUCAAGAUCAAAACUGGCAAGUCACUUUUGGAGACUGAUUGGAACAUUUGAACAAGGACUUUCCUUGUUACGUCAUUGAGAGUAACAUAAACUCUGUUUACCAAGGCAUCCACGGAAGAGAAAUGUCCAGGCAGUGGUCCAAAUGUUAUGUCUACCAGAAGCCAGCCAUGUACUUUGUAGCUGGGCACCAAGAAUGUUGUCUGAGUUUCAGCUAGGAUGAUAAUUCACCAGGACUGAAAUCCUUCCUUAAUCACCAAGCUCUCCAAAAGGCGAGUGAUGAUGAGGGGAAGCAUAGCUUACUGUUUCACUCUGUAAUCAUUUAUGAUUUGAGCUGUAUUUUACCUUACAGUGACCUCUGGUGCUGUUAGUGGAUCAUUCUAGACUUGCUGCUACAGUAUUACAGGGGCUACCAUGAAGACAAUGGCCACUAAAUGGUGAUUUAUCUGGGAGAGUUGGAAAAUAUGACCUUCAUGCAUAAAAAGAUACACAGAGGUAUUUUCCUAUUUUAGAUGCAAACGACAGUCUCUGUACUGAAAGUGUUCAUGAAGAAUCAAUUAUUUAAGCACAAAUAUUCACUUCGAAAGUUAAUUAUGUCUUGAGCACUGGGAUAUAUUUUUGAAAGAUACUGUUUCUUUCCUGCAUUUUAAAGUCAUAUGCUUGUCCCUCUGUGUUACCCAUGGUGCAAAAUUUCAGACUGAAAAUAUUUCAUCUCAGGCAUGUGACUGAACCUCGUCCUUGGAAUUUCAGUGUUGAAAUAUGGGAUUAAAAAUGGUGAAUGGAUUUGCUAAUUAGGUGCAGCUUUUUUUUUUUUUAAGGGGGGCACGGGAGGGGGAUGUGCAGCUCCUGAUUUUUGUCUUAUUAUUUAUUGUAUGUUGUCGCUGUCUGUAGACUUUUUCUUUUAUUUGUUUACUCUUGUUUGUUUGAACUAAUCACUACUUAAGAAACAGUUCUCUCAGGACGGACAGCCUCCUCUUCCUGAAGCCUGUAGCUUGGUGACCGUUCAGGCAUAAAAACGUGCUUAUCUGCAAAUGAAUGGUAGCUCUUUGCUUCAUUAAAGCCCCUUUCUCUUUUGGCACUCGCAUUGUGACCCUUUGAUAUUAAUUCAAAGGGCAAUUAAAGAAUGCGGCCCAUCUUUGAAG